GUCUAUAGCCAUGCCACCCUGAACAAGCCUGAUGUCUGAUCUCAGAAGCCAAGCAGGGUCGGGCCUGGUUAGUACUUGGAUGGGAGACUACCUAGGAAGACCAGGUGCUAUAGACA
rnacentral:rRNA from 1 species